rnacentral:rRNA from 1 species
AGUAACGCGUGAGGAACCUGCCUCAAAGAGGGGGACAACAGUUGGAAACGACUGCUAAUACCGCAUAAGCCCAUGGCUCGGCAUCGAGCAGAGGGAAAAGGAGCAAUCCGCUUUGAGAUGGCCUCGCGUCCGAUUAGCUAGUUGGUGAGGUAAUGGCCCACCAAGGCGACGAUCGGUAGCCGGACUGAGAGGUUGAACGGCCACAUUGGGACUGAGACACGGCCCAG